CCCUUAGAUGUCCGGGGCUGCACGCGCGCUACACUGAAGGAAUCAGCGUGCUAAAACCAUUGUCGAAAGGCAUUGGUAAACCCAUUAAAAUCCUACGUGAUUGGGAUCGGGAAUUGCAAUUAUUUCCCUUGAACGAGGAAUUCCCAGUAAGUGUGGGUCAUAAGCUCGCGUUGAUUACGUCCCUGCCCUUUGUACACACCGCCCGUCGCUGCCCGGGACUGAGCCGUUUCGAGAAAAGCGGGGACUGCUGCUGUCGGGGCUUUCGGGCCUUGGCUUCGUUGGAAACCGCUUUAAUCGCAGUGGCUUGAACCGGGCAAAAGUCGUAACA
rnacentral:rRNA from 1 species